AUGGCCUGGACUCCUCUGCUCCUCGUGCUCAUCUCUCACGGCACAGUGUCUGUGUCUGCAGGGUCCCUCUCCCAGCCUGUGCUGACUCAGCCGCCCUCCCUCUCUGCAUCUCCGGGAGCCACAGCCAGACUCACCUGCACCCUGAGCAGUGGCUUCAAUGUUGGCGACUAUGGAAUGGUCUGGUACCAGCAGAAGCCAGCGAGCCCUCCCCGGUACCUGCUGUCCUACAAAUCGGACUCAGACAAGUACCAGGGCGCGGGCGUGCCCAGCCGCUUCUCCGGAUCCAAAGACGCCUCAGCUAACGCGGCUGUUCUGCACAUCACUGGGCUGCAGCCCGAGGACGAGGCUGACUAUCACUGUGACACAUGGGACGGCAACUUCAAGACUCUCACAGUGGUCCAGACCCACAGGGAAGGGAGACAAAACCCUCCUCUCUGCUCCCUGGGCCUGGCCUGGUCCCCCUGCUGGAGGCUCUGA